GUACAGCUAAUAUAGCUGGAAUGACACCGAAAGCCAGACACAUUAAAUUUACAAAUGGCCGCGACCCCUCUUACAGAAAAAAAAUAAGGGGCAUAUGUUUAUUCAUAUGUUUAUUUAUGUAACGUAAGCGUGUGACUUUUAAUUCGUGACGUGCUUUCAUGGGCGUGCGCGCGGACCGGAUGGAGUUGCCAUGGAAACGGAGCGCAACACUGCAAAUGUCACGAGGAAACACCCCGUUUCUCGCUGAUUUCACUGUUUUCAGGAAUGGUUUAAUGUCUUCGAAAAAGUCCGUUAGCGUUUCUACCGUUUUCAGACGACGUAUCGUCAGAAGGGAGUUUUCAAGAUUUCUGAAGGAAGCUGCUGACAGAGAUGUAUGAAGCGCUGAAAAGGUUAAGUAACCUAAUAUGCAUUUUUUUCACAACAUAUAUCGCAAUGAAUCUGUUAUUUUAUUUAUUUAUUUUUUGCAUCUCAUCUGCUCUAGCUUGUUUCCGUCUAAUAAACCUGGAACUGCAGACUAAAUAUUGUUGGCUCUGUGUCAGAUUGCUUGUUUUGUUCCUAGAUUCUCCAGUGCUGAUGGCCUGCUGCAUCCAGCAGAGUCGGAGUGAACCUACUGUAAGACAACAUCUCCAAGAUGCUAUUGACCACAAGACUAGUACAGUUAUUAGAAACUGCACAGCACAGGACUUGCAGGACUUGUGAGGACUUCAGAUGAUACCAGUACUCAAAAGACCUUAGAUGAUGGCAACUAUAGAUGGACAUACAAACUACCGCCACUGCAAAAAAGAUUCUAAUUUGAAAGAAGUUUAUAAUGCAUGUUCGCUACUCCCAAUUCAGAAGACUGAAUCAGCCUGUGUAUCUGAAUGUUUCUCAUAAGCACUCCUCUCUGCCGCGUCUGAAUUUGGGAUUUUCCUUAGCUGUCAGUUAUAAACGUCAAAAUUAAAAGAAUUAAACGUUUGAAAUAUAUCAGUCUGUGUGUAAUGAAUAAAUAUAAUAUACAAGUUUCACUUUUUGAAUAGAAUUAGUGAAAUAAAUCAACUUUUUGAUGAUAUUCUAAUUAUAUGACCAGUACCUGUAUUUCAUUGCUCUUUUGUUGAUUUUGAUUGCUUCCAUUGUCCUCAUUCGUAAGUUGCUUUGGAUAAAAGUGUCUGCUAAAUGUAAAUGUAAUGUUAGUGUAUUUAACUAUAUUUAUAAAUAUUUAUCUGUAUUUUUUAUUUUGUAAUAAUUUAAAUGUAUUUGUUUUAUAUCUAUACAUGUAGUUGUAUUCAUGUAUGUAUAUUUAUUUGUCAAAUUUUUAUAUUUUAAUAAAGCAGU